rnacentral:rRNA from 1 species
GAUGAACGCUAGCUACAGGCUUAACACAUGCAAGUCGAGGGGCAGCAUGGAGUCAGCUUGCUGACUUUGAUGGCGACCGGCGCACGGGUGAGUAACGCGUAUCCAACCUUCCCCAUAGUAGAGAAUAGCCCGGCGAAAGUCGGAUUAAUGCUCUAUGUUGUAUUUCGAUGACAUCUGAAGAAUACCAAAGGUUCACCGCUAUGGGAUGGGGAUGCGUCUGAUUAGGUUGUUGGCGGGGUAACGGCCCACCAAGCCUGCGAUCAGUAGCCGGACUGAGAGGUUGAACGGCCACAUUGGGACUGAGACACGGCCCAGACUCC